rnacentral:rRNA from 1 species
CCUCAGUUCGGAUUGCAGUCUGCAACUCGACUGCAUGAAGCUGGAAUCGCUAGUAAUCGCGAAUCAGAAUGUCGCGGUGAAUACGUUCCCGGGUCUUGUACACACCGCCCGUCACACCAUGGGAGUUGGAAGCGCCCGAAGUCUGUGACCUAACCGUAAGGGAGGAGCAGCCGAAGGUGAAGCCAGUGACUGGGGUGAAGUCGUAACAAGGUAUC